rnacentral:piRNA from 1 species
CUUUGGCACAAUGGUGGAGCAC